CAGUCGCCGCGGUAAUACGAAGGGGGCUAGCGUUGUUCGGAAUUACUGGGCGUAAAGCGCACGUAGGCGGAUAUUUAAGUCAGGGGUGAAAUCCCGCAGCUCAACUGCGGAACUGCCUUUGAUACUGGGUAUCUUGGGUAUGGAAGAGGUAAGUGGAAUUGCGAGUGUAGAGGUGAAAUUCGUAGAUAUUCGCAGGAACACCAGUGGCGAAGGCGGCUUACUGGUCCAUUACUGACGCUGAGGUGCGAAAGCGUGGGGAGCAAACAGGAUUAGAGACCCCCGUAGUCCCUGUCUCUUAUAC
rnacentral:rRNA from 1 species